rnacentral:misc_RNA from 1 species
GAUGAAGAACGUAGCGAAAUGCGAUAAGUAAUGUGAAUUGCAGAAUUCAGUGAAUCAUCGAAUCUUUGAACGCACCUUGCGCCUUUUGGUAUUCCGAAAGGCACACCUGUUUGAGCGUCAUGAAUACCUCAAUCUCCAUCUUUUCUUCGGAUUGAUGGGUGACUUGGAUGUUGAGCCCUGCUGGUAUGCUAUAUCAGCUGGCUUUAAACUUAUUAGCCGGCUCUGUACUGGAUCGGUUUGACUCGACGUGAUAAUAUUAUCGUUGAGGAUGCCUGUCUCAUGCAGCCGGAAAGUAUCAAAGCAGCUUCUAGCUUGCCUUUAGUGCACUUUUACAUUUUAGACCUCAGAUCAGGUGGGACUACCCGCUGAACUUAAGCAUAUCAAUAAGCGGAGGA